rnacentral:rRNA from 1 species
UACAGAGGGGGCAAGCGUUGUUCGGAAUUACUGGGCGUAAAGGGCUCGUAGGCGGCCAACUAAGUCAGACGUGAAAUCCCUCGGCUUAACCGGGGAACUGCAUCUGAUACUGGAUGGCUUGAGUUCGGGAGAGGGAUGCGGAAUUCCAGGUGUAGCGGUGAAAUGCGUAGAUAUCUGGAGGAACACCGGUGGCGAAGGCGGCAUCCUGGACCGACACUGACGCUGAGGAGCGAAAGCCAGGGGAGCAAAGCGGGG